rnacentral:rRNA from 1 species
UGCCAGCCGCCGCGGUAAUACGGAGGGGGUUAGCGCUGUUCGGAAUUACUGGGCGUAAAGCGCACGUAGGCGGACUGGAAAGUUGGGGGUGAAAUCCCAGGGCUCAACCCUGGAACUGCCUCCAAAACUAUCAGUCUAGAGUUCGAGAGAGGUGAGUGGAAUUCCGAGUGUAGAGGUGAAAUUCGUGGAUAUAUGGAAGAACACCGGUGGCGAAAGCGGUUUUCUAACUUACUCCUGACGCUGAGGCGCGAAAGCUAGGGUAGCAAACAGGAUUAGAUA